rnacentral:lncRNA from 1 species
AUUACUUAGUUUCUAAAGUGUCACGUUGUUGCCAUGACUUGAACUCAAGUUCUUAACAUCACAAUUCAUUUCUCUAAACCAACUUAACCAUUUCAUCUAUUGACUAUAUGGACAAAAUAUAACAUAUUUACUAUAUACUUUAUAAAUUUGAAAAUAUAUAUUAUCUCCUGAAUCAAAUGGUUGAUUACUCUUUCUUUAAGACUAUAUUCACCCUUAACUUUUGCUAUACAAUGUUACUAUGAAUUAUUCUCUCAAAAUAAGAUAUGCCCAUAUUUUAUUUUGUGUUAGAACUUACUGUGUAUAAAUAAAUCUAGAACAAAACUAUAAAUGAGAG